AUGGAGAUCUCAGCACCAUCACAGCAACGGCAGCAGAUAGCUGAGAUUGAGAAGCAGACCAAGGAACAAUCACAACUGACUGCAACACAGACUUGAACUGUCAACAAGCAUGGUGAUGAGAUCAUCACCUCUACCACCAGCAAUUAUGAGACCCAGACUUUCUCAUCAAAGACUGAAUGGAGGGUCAGGGCCAUCUCUGCUGCCAAUCUGCAUUUGAGGACCAAUCACAUCUAUGUUUCAUCUGAUGACAUCAAGGAGACUGGUUACACCUAUAUCCUUCCCAAGAAUGUGCUUAAGAAGUUCAUCUGCAUAUCUGACCUUCGGGCCCAAAUUGCAGGAUACCUAUAUGGGGUGAGCCCACCGGAUAACCCCCAGGUGAAGGAGAUCCACUGCAUUGUGACGGUCCCACAGUGGGGCACUCAUCAGACUGUGCACCUGCCUGGCCAGCUGCCCCAACAUGAGUACCUCAAGGAGAUGGAGCCCUUAGGUUGGAUCCACACUCAGCCCAAUGAGUCCCCCGAGUUAUCACCCCAGGAUGAAUUAUCAAUUUCUUCAUGGUUAGUGCUUUGGGGUGUUAAGAUGUUGUUACCUACCCUGUGUCAAAUUUCCUAG